rnacentral:rRNA from 1 species
GACGUAGCAUGCAAGCGUUGUCCGGAUUUAUUGGGCGUAAAGAGUUCGUAGGUGGUUCGUUAAGUCUGAUGUUAAAGACUGGGGCUCAACCCUGGAAGUGCAUUGGAUACUGGCGGACUUGAGUGUGGUAGAGGCAAUCGGAAUUCCAGGUGUAGCGGUGAAAUGCGUAGAUAUCUGGAAGAACACCGGUGGCGCAAGCGGAUUGCUGGGCCAUAACUGACACUGAGGAACGAAAGCUAGGGGAGCGAACAGG